AUUCUUUUGCUCACUGCUCGGUGACUUUGCAUGUCAUGUGUUUGCUCAUAAGUAAGUAGACAGUUGGUGGACUGAGUCACACAACACAGGCAACAACAGGAUCUGUAAGUGUGGGAACGCCAGCAACUGUGGCAUGAGCUGGAUUUGGCAUCAGUGAGAUGAGGAACAAGCAGGCUCUACUGCAAACACCACACAGAGAGGAGAAGUCUCACUGAAGACAAGGAUGACAGGAUUCAACUGGAUUUCAAACAGCUUAUGUCAGGUCUAAAAAUGGCUGUCAAGACUGCCACUCCAUGAAGUCUAUGCCAGGAACCCUCACGGUGCUCCCAUUCUUGGGCUGGGGGCUGGCCAUACAGUGUCGUGUGUUCACCUUGCGAAAAUGUGUCACGAACUUUAUGAUUUGACUUGAUUACAUUUCUGCAUAUGUUAUAUAUGAAAGUGUAUCUUAAAAAAUACAAGGUGGCCAGGCACGGUGGCUCACACCUAUAAUCCCAGCACUUUGGGAGGUCAAGGUGAGAAGAUUGCUUGAGCAUAGGAGUUCAAGACCAGCCUGGGCAACAUAAUGAGAACCCUAUCUCUACAAAAGAAAAAAAUCAGCUGGAUGUGGUGGCAUGUAGCUGUAGUCUCAGCUACUCAGGAGGCAGGAGGAUUGCUUGAGCCCAGUUCAAGACUGCAGUGAACUAUGAUCAUGCCACUGCACUUCAGCCUGGAUGACAGAGCAAGACCCUGUCUUAAAAAUAAAUAAAUAAAUGGCAUUGCCCACUUUAUGGGGAGUGGAUUGGAGGUUCCUGAUGGAAGAAAGAUUAAAAAGCACACAGGAGGAUUUCAAGAGGAAGCGAGCUGGGCUUGAAAAGUCACCAGUUGCAGUGGCUCACGCCUGUAAUCCCAGCACCUGGGAGGCCAAGGUGGCUGGAUUGCUUGAGCUCAGGAGUUUGUCACCAGCCUGGGCAACACGGUGAAACCCUCGUCUUGACAAAAAAUAUAAAAAAUUAGCCAGGCAUAGUGGUUAGCGCCUGUAGUCCCAGCUACUUGGGAGGCUGAGGUGGGAGGAUACCUUAAGUCCAGGAGGUUGAGGCUGCAGUAAGCUAUGAUUGUACCACUGCACUACAGCCUGGGCCACAGAGCAAGGCCCUGUCUGGAAAAAAAAAAAAAGUAGAAAAAGAAAGAGAGAAGCGAGAGAGAGAGAAAGAAAGAGAUAAGAAAGAAAGAAAAAAAGAAAGGAAGGAAGGAAGAAAAAAGGAAAGAAAGAAAGAAAGAAAGGAAGGAAAGAAAAAGAAAGAAAACCACCAGGACCAACAAGCUCUGGUGUGAGAACAGAGCUGCACCUGCCUCGUAGGCAAGUCUUUGUUUUUAACUCCCAAUCCCCUUCCUUGAUGAGCUGAGACAUGAGGCCCAGCAAAGAGAAAAAUGAAAAAGAAUGCAAACACAUCUGUCUCACCCACCUCAGCCCUCAAAUCCUAAAGCAGCCAGCAGGAGAGAGGAGAAGACGUCAAACUUCAUGAAGUUUGACAUUUUGAUUAUUAUGCUGACAUUUUAAUUACUGAACAGAGAUGGUUCCUAUGAUUGAAAGUAACUGGUGGUCUAUUACUUGAAGGCGAACAUGAAUGUGAACAGGAAAUCCCCCUAUUCCCUACCCCAAACUUAGAUUUUUCUUCAAGAGCCAUAAAGAAUUCACACAGCAGGUUGCGAAGAUUGUUUUCUGCUUGUACCAUGGAUCAGUUCACUAUUACAGCGUAACAAACUAAUCCUUCAUGGCUUAAAACAACCACCGUCUAGGUAUUAUUCCUCACCAGUCCGCAGUUUGCUUGCGUAGCUGGUUCUGCUGUUCUAGGCUGGACUCGACAAAUCUCAGCUGGGCUCACUCAGCCCUCCAAGGUUCCUGACAGGUGGAAAUGCCCUGCUCAGGAUCCUCAAGCAGCAGUGAGAUCCUGGCCAUCUGCAGAUUCCACAAUCAAUCACCCCCAUCAAUUGUGACAUUAUUAUGGCACUGCCCUCCAUGCAACUUAACUCGAGAGGAAACAAACAUUUGAUCCAUUAGUAUGCAUAGAAGCAAUAUGAUUUUCUGAAACAGUAAUUUGAAAUAGGAACAAUAAUGAGAACCUGUACAGACAGAUAUCCCCCUCGGGCACAUUACUGAUUGUCAAUAUGGUGAGUACAGAAAGAGAGGCACAUCACAUUUCUCUUCACAGUAAUAAUAGCUGCACCCGCAUGUAUCUUGGAACAUAAACGUUCACUCAUGAUGAUAAGUUGGAAGCCCACUAACAUGCUGGCAGCAGACAGACUUUUCAGAAACACAUAUCUGAUCCAAAAUCUACAGUGACGUUUUCCAAAAUUAAGUAUUUGUCAUGUAUUUUUUCUUUUACCGGGUACUCUAUAAACACUUGGGAUUGUAGGGGUGGAAAGCCGUGAUACCUUUCCUCACCCACCAUAACCGUCAUGGCCAACACUCCUGUAACAAAAGGAAAAAGAGAAAAGCAUAACAAAUGUAUUUAAAAUUUAAUCCCAUGUAUGAGGCCAUUCUCACACUGCUACAGAGAAAUACCCGCGACUGGGUAAUGUAUAAAGAAAAGAGGUUUAAUUGGCUCGUGGUUCCACAGGCUGUACAGGAAGCAUGGUGGCAUCUGCUUGGCUUCUGGGGAGGCCACAGGAAACUUAUAAUCAUGGCAGAAGGGGAAGGGGAAGCAGACACAUCUUACAUGGCUGAAGCAGGAGGCAGUGGGCAGGAUAGGUGCUAUACACUUUUAAACAAUGAGAUCUCACGAGAACUCACUCACUAUUAGUGAGUAGUACCAAAGGGGAUAUUCACCCCCAUGAUCCAAUCACCUCCCAGCGGGCCCCACCUCCAACGUUGGGGAUUACAGUUAGACAUGAGAUAUGGGCGGGGGACACAGAUCCAAACUGUACCAUCAAAGUUUUAUGUGACAUGAAAGCCUAAAUAAAGACUCGCCGGGCGCGGUGGCCCACGCCUGUAAUCCCAGCACUUUGGGAAGCCGAGAUAGGCGGAUCUCCAGGUCAGGAGAUCAAGACCAUCCUGGCUAACAUGGUGAAACCCCGCCUCUACUAAAAAUACAAAAAAAAAUUAGCCGGGCAUGGUGGCGGGCGCCUGUAGUCCCAGCUACUCCGGAGGCUAAGGCAGGAGAAUGGCGUGAACCCGGGAGGCAGAGGUUGCAGUGAGCCGAGAUCGCGCCACUGCACUCCAGCCUGGGCGACAGAGCGAGACUCUGUCU